rnacentral:rRNA from 1 species
UUAAGCGACUAAGCGUACACGGUGGAUGCCCUGGCAGUCAGAGGCGAUGAAGGACGUGCUAAUCUGCGAUAAGCGUCGGUAAGGUGAUAUGAACCGUUAUAACCGGCGAUUUCCGAAUGGGGAAACCCAGUGUGAUUCGUCACACUAUCAUUAACUGAAUCCAUAGGUUAAUGAGGCGAACCGGGGGAACUGAAACAUCUAAGUACCCCGAGGAAAAGAAAUCAACCGAGAUUCCCCCAGUAGCGGCGAGCGAACGGGGAGGAGCCCAGAGCCUGAAUCAGUGUGUGUGUUAGUGGAAGCGUCUGGAAAGGCGCGCGAUACAGGGUGACAGCCCCGUACACAAAAAUGCACAUGCUGUGAGCUCGAUGAGUAGGGCGGGACACGUGGUAUCCUGUCUGAAUAUGGGGGGACCAUCCUCCAAGGCUAAAUACUCCUGACUGACCGAUAGUGAACCAGUACCGUGAGGGAAAGGCGAAAAGAACCCCGGCGAGGGGAGUGAAAAAGAACCUGAAACCGUGUACGUACAAGCAGUGGGAGCCUCUUUAUGGGGUGACUGCGUACCUUUUGUAUAAUGGGUCAGCGACUUAUAUUCUGUAGCAAGGUUAACCGAAUAGGGGAGCCGAAGGGAAACCGAGUCUUAACUGGGCGUUAAGUUGCAGGGUAUAGACCCGAAACCCGGUGAUCUAGCCAUGGGCAGGUUGAAGGUUGGGUAACACUAACUGGAGGACCGAACCGACUAAUGUUGAAAAAUUAGCGGAUGACUUGUGGCUGGGGGUGAAAGGCCAAUCAAACCGGGAGAUAGCUGGUUCUCCCCGAAAGCUAUUUAGGUAGCGCCUCGUGAAUUCAUCUCCGGGGGUAGAGCACUGUUUCGGCAAGGGGGUCAUCCCGACUUACCAACCCGAUGCAAACUGCGAAUACCGGAGAAUGUUAUCACGGGAGACACACGGCGGGUGCUAACGUCCGUCGUGAAGAGGGAAACAACCCAGACCGCCAGCUAAGGUCCCAAAGUCAUGGUUAAGUGGGAAACGAUGUGGGAAGGCCCAGACAGCCAGGAUGUUGGCUUAGAAGCAGCCAUCAUUUAAAGAAAGCGUAAUAGCUCACUGGUCGAGUCGGCCUGCGCGGAAGAUGUAACGGGGCUAAACCAUGCACCGAAGCUGCGGCAGCGACGCUUAUGCGUUGUUGGGUAGGGGAGCGUUCUGUAAGCCUGUGAAGGUGUGCUGUGAGGCAUGCUGGAGGUAUCAGAAGUGCGAAUGCUGACAUAAGUAACGAUAAAGCGGGUGAAAAGCCCGCUCGCCGGAAGACCAAGGGUUCCUGUCCAACGUUAAUCGGGGCAGGGUGAGUCGACCCCUAAGGCGAGGCCGAAAGGCGUAGUCGAUGGGAAACAGGUUAAUAUUCCUGUACUUGGUGUUACUGCGAAGGGGGGGACGGAGAAGGCUAUGUUGGCCGGGCGACGGUUGUCCCGGUUUAAGCGUGUAGGCUGGUUUUCCAGGCAAAUCCGGAAAAUCAAGGCUGAGGCGUGAUGACGAGGCACUACGGUGCUGAAGCAACAAAUGCCCUGCUUCCAGGAAAAGCCUCUAAGCAUCAGGUAACAUCAAAUCGUACCCCAAACCGACACAGGUGGUCAGGUAGAGAAUACCAAGGCGCUUGAGAGAACUCGGGUGAAGGAACUAGGCAAAAUGGUGCCGUAACUUCGGGAGAAGGCACGCUGAUAUGUAGGUGAAGUCCCUCGCGGAUGGAGCUGAAAUCAGUCGAAGAUACCAGCUGGCUGCAACUGUUUAUUAAAAACACAGCACUGUGCAAACACGAAAGUGGACGUAUACGGUGUGACGCCUGCCCGGUGCCGGAAGGUUAAUUGAUGGGGUUAGCGGUAACGCGAAGCUCUUGAUCGAAGCCCCGGUAAACGGCGGCCGUAACUAUAACGGUCCUAAGGUAGCGAAAUUCCUUGUCGGGUAAGUUCCGACCUGCACGAAUGGCGUAAUGAUGGCCAGGCUGUCUCCACCCGAGACUCAGUGAAAUUGAACUCGCUGUGAAGAUGCAGUGUACCCGCGGCAAGACGGAAAGACCCCGUGAACCUUUACUAUAGCUUGACACUGAACAUUGAGCCUUGAUGUGUAGGAUAGGUGGGAGGCUUUGAAGUGUGGACGCCAGUCUGCAUGGAGCCGACCUUGAAAUACCACCCUUUAAUGUUUGAUGUUCUAACGUUGGCCCCUAAUCGGGGUUGCGGACAGUGUCUGGUGGGUAGUUUGACUGGGGCGGUCUCCUCCUAAAGAGUAACGGAGGAGCACGAAGGUUGGCUAAUCCUGGUCGGACAUCAGGAGGUUAGUGCAAUGGCAUAAGCCAGCUUGACUGCGAGCGUGACGGCGCGAGCAGGUGCGAAAGCAGGUCAUAGUGAUCCGGUGGUUCUGAAUGGAAGGGCCAUCGCUCAACGGAUAAAAGGUACUCCGGGGAUAACAGGCUGAUACCGCCCAAGAGUUCAUAUCGACGGCGGUGUUUGGCACCUCGAUGUCGGCUCAUCACAUCCUGGGGCUGAAGUAGGUCCCAAGGGUAUGGCUGUUCGCCAUUUAAAGUGGUACGCGAGCUGGGUUUAGAACGUCGUGAGACAGUUCGGUCCCUAUCUGCCGUGGGCGCUGGAGAACUGAGGGGGGCUGCUCCUAGUACGAGAGGACCGGAGUGGACGCAUCACUGGUGUUCGGGUUGUCAUGCCAAUGGCACUGCCCGGUAGCUAAAUGCGGAAGAGAUAAGUGCUGAAAGCAUCUAAGCACGAAACUUGCCCCGAGAUGAGUUCUCCCUGACUCCUUGAGAGUCCUGAAGGAACGUUGAAGACGACGACGUUGAUAGGCCGGGUGUGUAAGCGCAGCGAUGCGUUGAGCUAACCGGUACUAAUGAACCGUGAGGCUUAACCUU